GUGGGGAAUAUUGCACAAUGGGCGCAAGCCUGAUGCAGCCAUGCCGCGUGUAUGAAGAAGGCCUUCGGGUUGUAAAGUACUUUCAGCGGGGAGGAAGGGUAAAUGGUUAAUAACCAUUUACAUUGACGUUACCCGCAGAAGAAGCACCGGCUAACUCCGUGCCAGCAGCCGCGGUAAUACGGAGGGUGCAAGCGUUAAUCGGAAUUACUGGGCGUAAAGCGCACGCAGGCGGUCUGUCAAGUCGGAUGUGAAAUCCCCGGGCUCAACCUGGGAACUGCAUUCGAAACUGGCAGGCUUGAGUCUUGUAGAGGGGGGUAGAAUUCCAGGUGUAGCGGUGAAAUGCGUAGAGAUCUGGAGGAAUACCGGUGGCGAAGGCGGCCCCCUGGACAAAGACUGACGCUCAGGUGCGAAAGCGUGGGGAGCAAACAGGA
rnacentral:rRNA from 1 species